GAAAAUUUAGUUAAAUUUAUAACAUUAGUUUGUCAUUCUAAAAUUACUAUUUUUAUUAGUAAUUUUCA
rnacentral:tRNA from 1 species